rnacentral:rRNA from 1 species
GGUGGUGAUUACUGUGAGGCCACACCUGUUCCCAUCCCGAACACAGAAGUUAAGCUCACUUGUGCCGAAAAUACUUGACUGGAGACGGUCCGGAAAGAUAGGUUGCUGCCG